CCUACGGGAGGCAGCAGUGGGGAAUAUUGGGCAAUGGGCGCAAGCCUGACCCAGCAACGCCGCGUGAAGGAAGAAGGCUUUCGGGUUGUAAACUUCUUUUCUCAGGGACGAAGAAAGUGACGGUACCUGAGGAAUAAGCCACGGCUAACUACGUGCCAGCAGCCGCGGUAAUACGUAGGUGGCAAGCGUUAUCCGGAUUUAUUGGGUGUAAAGGGCGUGUAGGCGGGAGCGCAAGUCAGAUGUGAAAACUCAGGGCUCAACCCUGAGCCUGCAUUUGAAACUGUGUUUCUUGAGUGCUGGGGAGGCAAUCGGAAUUCCGUGUGUAGCGGUGAAAUGCGUAGAUAUACGGAGGAACACCAGUGGCGAAGGCGGAUUGCGGGACAGUAACUGACGCUGAGGCGCGAAAGCGUGGGGAGCAAACAGGAUUAGAUACCCUUGUAGUC
rnacentral:rRNA from 1 species